UACGGAGGGUGCGAGCGUUGUCCGGAAUCACUGGGCGUAAAGGGCGCGUAGGCGGCGCGGGCAGUCAACGGUGAAAGCUUGGGGCUCAACCCCGAGUCGGCCGUCGAUACUCCCGGGCUGGAGCACUGUAGAGGCAGGUGGAAUUCCGGGUGUAGCGGUGGAAUGCGUAGAGAUCCGGAAGAACACCAGUGGCGAAGGCGGCCCGCUGGGCAGUGGCUGACGCUGAAGCGCGACAGCGUGGGGAGCAAACAGG
rnacentral:rRNA from 1 species